UGACACUGUCAGACGUUACAGAUGGAUUCGGAGAAAUUGUAAUUCUUCUCCGCGGGUAAAUCAAUUUGAGUCAACACUCCAUGUGAAAUUAUUUGUGAUACUGUGUAGUCGUGCAUUUAGCGUAGGAACACUUUGGGUCCGGAACCAAAUUCGAAUGAAGACUGAGACAGGUGCCGUGAAAGAAAAUAAUGUUGGUGCGAAGAAGAAAACAAAAAAAGCUAAGGUUACAAAAACAAAAAAGAAGCCCAGAAAAUUCCUCAAAAUCAGAUGUCCGAUAUGCUUCAACAACCUCAACAACGAGGCGGUAUCCUCAACCCGUUGCGGGCACGUGUUCUGUACGCAAUGCCUGCUGAAGGCAAUGAGGAUCAAGAGGAUCUGCCCUCUGUGCCGGGUGUCGCUGAGGACAGCCGCGGCCUGCCACCCGCUGUAUUUGCACGAUAAUUUGUGCGAAGAGGACACCGAGAGCUCUUGAGAUUGGUGAAACAGAAUCGAGGAUCAGUGAUAAUGUCGAAUUGCUCGAACCAUGCUAAUGCUUGGUUGAGCUCGAAACAUUGUGUCGGCCAUCGACGGAUCGACGGCCAUUUUAGAAGUAGGUCAAGGAGCUCUCCCUUCUACCCUACGUUUGUGGGGCCGAACGUCC